CGAUGAGUCACGUGACAAUGGAAAUUAAUAUUGGUACGAGAGUAUCCUGAUAGAUGGCAACUUUAAAUCGACGAUGGAAAUUUCGAAAUUGUCGUCAAUAUAACUGGGGUGACACUCGAUUAUCCAUGGUAUCCGAAUAUUACUACAUGUGACAGCAAUUAUAAAAACAGUCGUGUAAAAAUGCUAUAUGUUUAUUAAAUAUUCCCAACAUGUGAUAUAUAACAUUUUAAAUUAGACAUGUCAUGAUAUAUAAUUAUAUAUUUAUACAACGACAUAUAAAAUUAAUAAGUUUUAAUCAGAAUAAAUUGCAAAACUAUGCGUCUUUUAUUAUUUUUGAUAUAGCUCUACUGCUAGGUAGCAAGUUUCAAAGCAUUAGUUUUACCUUUUGACAA